rnacentral:rRNA from 1 species
AGCGAACGCUGGCGGCAGGCUUAACACAUGCAAGUCGAGCGGGCAUCCUUGUGGUGUCAGCGGCAGACGGGUGAGUAACGCGUGGGAACGUGCCCUUCGGUUCGGAAUAACUCAGGGAAACUUGAGCUAAUACCGGAUACGUGCGAGAGCAGAAAGGUUUAUCUGCCGAAGGAUCGGCCCGCGUCUGAUUAGCUAGUUGGUGAGGUUACGGCUCACCAAGGCGACGAUCAGUAGCUGGUCUGAGAGGAUGAUCAGCCACACUGGGACUGAGACACGGCCCAGACUCCUACGGGAGGCAGCAGUGGGGAAUAUUGGACAAUGGGGGCAACCCUGAUCCAGCCAUGCCGCGUGAGUGAUGACGACCUUAGGGUUGUAAAGCUCUUUUCUCCGGGACGAUAAUGACGGUACCGGAGGAAUAAGCCCCGGCUAACUUCGUG